rnacentral:rRNA from 1 species
AGCUCUAAUAGCGUAUAUUAAAAUUGUUGCAGUUAAAACGCUCGUAGUUGAAUAUCUGCCUACUGACGACUUGGUCCGCUUUGCGAGCACCAGGCGUUAGGGGCAUUCGUUUGCACAUUUGAUUCUAUUGAAUUGCAAACCGUUCACUUUGAGGAAAUUAGAGUGUUCAAAGCAGGCGUCAGCCUUGAAUACUUCAGCAUGGAAUGAUCGAUAGGACUUCCGUCCUAUCCGUUGGUUCUAGGGGCGCGAAGUAAUGAUAAACAGGGUCGGUCGGGGGCAUUCGUAUUGAACAGUCAGAGGUGAAAUUCUUAGAUUUGUUCAAGACGAACAACUGCGAAAGCAUUUGCCAAGGAUGACCCCA